rnacentral:rRNA from 1 species
UGCGUAGGCGGAUUAAUAAGUCAGUGGUGAAAACCUUCAGCUUAACUGGAGACUUGCCAUUGAUACUGUUAGUCUUGAGUACGGUCAAGGUAGGCGGAAUGUGUAAUGUAGCGGUGAAAUGCUUAGAUAUUACACAGAACACCGAUUGCGAAGGCAGCUUACUGGGCCAUUACUGACGCUGAGGCACGAAAGCGUGGGGAGCGAACAGGAUUAGAUACCCUGGUAGUCC